UUAACACAUGCAAGUCGAACGAGAAAGCGGGGGCAACUUCGCAAGUACAGUGGCAGACGGGUGAGUAACACGUGAACAAUCUACCCUUGAGUGGGGAAUAACCCCGCGAAAGCGGGGCUAAUACCGCAUAACAUCCUGGGGCUGCAUAGCCCGAGGAUCAAAGGCUUCGGUCGCUUGAGGAAGGGUUCGCGCCUGAUUAGCUUGUUGGUGAGGUAACGGCUCACCAAGGCGACGAUCAGUAGCCGGCCUGAGAGGGCGAACGGCCACACUGGAACUGAGACACGGUCCAGACUCCUACGGGAGGCAGCAGUGGGGAAUUUUGCGCAAUGGGCGAAAGCCUGACGCAGCAACGCCGCGUGGAGGAUGAAGGCCCUCGGGUCGUAAACUCCUGUCAGGGGGGAAGAAAACCGGGCAACCGGUCUGACUGUACCCCCUGAGGAAGCCACGGCCAACUCCGUGCCAGCAGCCGCGGUAAUACGGAGGUGGCAAGCGUUGUUCGGAAUUAUUGGGCGUAAAGGGCGCGUAGGCGGCAAUGCAAGUCAGAUGUGAAAUCCCUGGGCUCAACCUAGGAAUUGCAUCUGAAACUGCGUUGCUUGAGUCCUGGAGGGGGUAGUGGAAUUCCCAGUGUAGCGGUGAAAUGCGUAGAUAUUGGGAGGAACACCGGCGGCGAAGGCGGCUACCUGGACAGUGACUGACGCUGAGGCGCGAAAGCUAGGGGAGCGAACGGGAUUAGAUACCCCGGUAGUCCUAGCCGUAAACGAUGGGCACUUGGUGUUGGGGGUAUUACUCCCUCAGUGCCGGAGUUAACACGUUAAGUGCCCCGCCUGGGGAGUACGGUCGCAAGACUGAAACUCAAAGGAAUUGACGGGGGCCCGCACAAGCGGUGGAGCAUGUGGUUCAAUUCGACGCAACGCGAAGAACCUUACCGGGGCUCGAACGGUAGUUGCUAUUCCUGGAAACGGGAAGUUCUCUUCGGAGACGGUUACCGAGGUGCUGCAUGGCUGUCGUCAGCUCGUGUCGUGAGAUGUUGGGUUAAGUCCCGCAACGAGCGCAACCCUUGCCCUUAGUUGCUACCAGGUUAUGCUGAGAACCCUAAGGGAACUGUCGGCGAAAAGCCGGAGGAAGGUGGGGAUGACGUCAAGUCCUCAUGGCCCUUACGUCCCGGGCUACACACGUGCUACAAUGGUCGGUACAAAGGGUCGCCAACCCGCGAGGGGGAGCUAAUCCCAAAAAGCCGAUCUCAGUUCGGAUUGCAGUCUGCAACUCGACUGCAUGAAGUUGGAAUCGCUAGUAAUCGCAGAUCAGAACGCUGCGGUGAAUACGUUCCCGGGCCUUGUACACACCGCCCGUCACAUCACGAAAGUGGGUUGUACUAGAAAUCGCCGAGCUAACCUCGCAAGAGGAGGCAAGCGCUUAAGGUAUGAUUCAUGAUUGGGGUGAAGUCGUAACAAGGUA
rnacentral:rRNA from 1 species